rnacentral:rRNA from 1 species
UACGUAGGGUGCAAGCGUUAAUCGGAAUUACUGGGCGUAAAGCGUGCGCAGGCGGCUAUGCAAGACAGAUGUGAAAUCCCCGGGCUCAACCUGGGAACUGCAUCUGUGACUGCAUCGCUGGAGUGCGGCAGAGGGGGAUGGAAUUCCGCGUGUAGCAGUGAAAUGCGCAGAUAUCAGGAGGAACACCGGUGGCGAAGGCGGGUCGUCUGGGCCGUAACUGACGCUGAGGAGCGAAAGCGUGGGGAGCAAACAGG